rnacentral:tRNA from 1 species
CAGAGAAUAGUUUAAUUAAAAUAUCAGUUUUGGGGAUUGAUGAUAGGGGGUAACUCUUUUCUCUGA